CAUCAGAAGCAAUUAUGUUGUGACAAUGUGGCACUCUGGGGAAAUCCUGGUCCAUCUGGACAAAGCAUGGUCAGACCAGGCUGAUAGCUGGGAGCUGUGGAGCAUGUGAUGCAUCUUCCAUAUAGGGGCAGGAGCAAACCAAGACCAACUGAUGGACGCCCUAGGGCCAGACUUGCAGACAAUAUAUAACCUACUGCAUGAUCUAAAACGCUUCCCACUUCCACAGAGUGAACAUCAGGCAGAGCGGAGCCGCAGCGAGGGAAGAGGAGUCCUGUGUGCAGAGCUUGGGAGGAGCAUCCUCCAGAUCUGGGGAGAAAAGGGACCGACUCCAUUUCUGACGUGCUGUAAGGAGCAAGUGCAAGCCUGGAUGGAGCGAGCCACGGACGGGGCAGGGAUUGCAGAGGCAUCCCAUCACUCUGUGGCACAGGUUCCUCUCCAGCAUCCAGGAUGAUUUCCUGGGCACAACAUCAGCCACCCCACCCCAAAUCUGGGGCAGGCACCGAGCCUGGCACCGGGAGCGCGGGGCAGGGCUGGCAGAGGCAGCGGGGCUGGCACAGCUGUGUGGCUUUCAGAGAUACUUGAUCGAUAGCUCCUUCCUCCCGCUCCCCCCGCUCCCCCAGUCCCCACAUGCAUUUUUCAUGCGAACCCCUCCUG